AGCUUUGCACAGUGGCGGUAUCCUAGCCAAUGAGGUUUAUCUGAGGCAUAAUUAUUGCUAAUUGAAAAAUGGUGUGCCCAUUAUCUC
rnacentral:snRNA from 1 species